UACGUAGGGUCCAAGCGUUGUCCGGAUUUAUUGGGCGUAAAGAGCUCGUAGGCGGCUCGGUAAGUCGGAUGUGAAACCUCCAGGCUCAACCUGGAGUCGCCAUCCGAUACUGCUGUGGCUUGAGUCCGGUAGGGGAGCAUGGAAUUCCUGGUGUAGCGGUGAAAUGCGCAGAUAUCAGGAGGAACACCUAUUGCGAAGGCAGCUCGCUGGGACGUUACUGACGCUGAGACGCGAAAGCGUGGGGAGCAAACAGG
rnacentral:rRNA from 1 species